UUUCCGUAGGUGAACCAGCGGAGGGAUCAUUAAUGAGUUGUCAUAGGGUUAGUUGAUUGCGACCAGUUUUUGGAUGCAUGUGCUUGCCCUAGCAAUCAUCUUCUUCCAAACACCUGUGCACAUAUUUGUGAGCCUUUUGAGUUGUUGGUCGCGCUUGGGUGAUUUUCUCACAUUCCCUUAAAUAAUUGUACGAUCUUAACAAGGUUGAACGGGUUCAGUGCCGCGAGGCCAUUAAUAUAAUACAACUUUCAACAACGGAUCUCUUGGCUCCC
rnacentral:misc_RNA from 1 species